GAAAGUUAUGAAAGUUUCUCAGUUGAAAUGCCAAGAAGGAGCUAAUCUAAUCCUAAGACAUUAAUCAGGUAUUUAAAGUUAUGAAAGUUCCUCAGUUGAAAUUAGAAAGAAGGAGCUAAUCUAAUCCUGAGACAUCAAUCAGGUGUGAAAAGUUAUGAAAGGGACUUAGUUGAAAUCCAAAGAAGGAGCUAAACUAAUCUGAAGGUAUUAAUCAGGUGUGUAUAUUUUUGUUUGUCUUUCAUAUUUUCAAGUUUUUUUUUUAUUUAAUAACCACUUUCUGUUCAUAUUUAAAUGUGUUCUAAUGUAAGGGAGCAGAAAAAAGUAACAUGAAUUAUGAAUUGGACCUUUGUUCCUGAAUUCAAAAAAUGUGUCUUGAUACAACAAAUCAUGAACUUAUUCUAUAAAAUCAAUGUUCUUUGCU